GUGUCAGCAGCCGCGGUAAUACGUAGGGGGCGAGCGUUGUCCGGAUUUAUUGGGCGUAAAGCGCGGGCAGGCGGCCCCGUAAGUCGGCCGUGAAAGCGCCGGGCUCAACUCGGCGAGGACGGGCGAGACUGCAGGGCUCGAGAGAGGUAGAGGGCGGUGGAAUUCCGGGUGUAGUGGUGGAAUGCGUAGAGCUCCGGAGGAACACCAGUGGCGAAGGCGGCCGCCUGGGCCUUUUCUGACGCUGAGCCGCGAAAGCGUGGGGAGCGAGCCGGAUUAGAUACCCGUGUAGUCC
rnacentral:rRNA from 1 species